rnacentral:rRNA from 1 species
CAGCCGCCGCGGUAAUACAGAGGGUGCGAGCGUUAAUCGGAUUUACUGGGCGUAAAGCGUGCGUAGGCGGCUUUUUAAGUCGGAUGUGAAAUCCCUGAGCUUAACUUAGGAAUUGCAUUCGAUACUGGGAAGCUAGAGUAUGGGAGAGGAUGGUAGAAUUCCAGGUGUAGCGGUGAAAUGCGUAGAGAUCUGGAGGAAUACCAAUGGCGAAGGCAGCCAUCUGGCCUAAUACUGACGCUGAGGUACGAAAGCAUGGGGAGCAAACAGGAUUAGAUACCCCAGUAGUCCCUGUCUCUUAUAC